rnacentral:rRNA from 1 species
AUUCCAGCUCCAAUAGCGUAUAUUAAAGUUGUUGCAGUUAAAAAGCUCGUAGUUGGAUUUCUGGCUGGAGCGAUCGGUCCGCCCCGCAAGGGGUGUGUACUAGCGUCGUCUCCGACCAUCCUUGUGGGAACUGUGCGGCCGUUAACUCGGUUGUAUAUGGGAACACAUCGUUUACUGUGAAAAAAUUAGAGUGUUUAAAGCAGGCUUAAGCCGUUGAAUACAUUAGCAUGGAAUAAUAAGAUAAGACUUGGGUCAUUAUUUUGUUGGUUUGCGGAUCGAGGUAAUGAUUAAUAGGGAUAGUCGGGGGUAUUCAUAUUUAAUUGUCAGAGGUGAAAUUCUUGGAUUUAUGAGAGAUGAACUUAGGCGAAAGCAUUUACCAAGGAUGUUUUCAUUA